rnacentral:rRNA from 1 species
UUGUUUAUAUAAAAGAUCUGGCCUGCCCAAUGAGUUUUUUAAUGGCUGCAGUAUUUUGACUGUACAAAGGUAGCAUAAUCAUUUGUCUUUUAAUUGAAGUCUGGAAUGAAUGGUUGGAUGAAAUAUUUACUUUCUUUAUUUUUUAAAAAUAAUUUAAUCUUUGAAUUAAAAAGUUUAAAUGUUAAUAUAGGACGAGAAGACCCUAUAGAACUUUAUUAUUUAUGAAUUAUAAUUUUAUUGAAAAUAAUUUAUUAAAAUUUUGAUUAUAAUUUUGUUGGGGUGACAGAAAAAAUUUUAUAACUUUUUUUAUAUAUUUCAUUUAUAUAUGAUUUUAUGAUCCUUUUUUAUGGAAGAAAGAUUAAGUUACCUUAGGGAUAACAGCGUUAUUACUUUAGAAAGUUCAUAUUGAUAAAGUAGUUUGCGACCUCGAUGUUGGAUUAAAAAAAAUAUCAGGGGUAUAAUAUUGAUAUAUAAGUCUGUUCGACUUUUAAUUUU